rnacentral:snRNA from 1 species
AGAUAACGCAGGUGUCCUAAG